rnacentral:rRNA from 1 species
CCCUUAGACACUCUAGGCGGCACGCGCGCUACAAUGGGUGGACGACCGUGUUACUGCCUUCGAAAGAAGGGGUGAAUCACGAAUUCUUACCCGUGAAUGGGAUAGUUUGUUGCAAUUUUCGGACUUGAACUAGGAAUCCCUUGUAAGCAUGCUCAAGAAUAGCGUGUUGAAUACGUCCCUGCCGUUUGUACACACCGCCCGUCGUUUCUUCCGACUGAUACUCAUUGUGAGUUGCAAGGACCCUUUAUUGGGAAAUUGCUGCGAAUGCUUUGUAUUGGAGGAAGAAAAAGUCGUAACA